AGAAACAGGUAUUUUACGUCUUAAAUUUCUACAACUUGCGAGAAGCAUGCUUUCAGGGUAUAUAAAAGCUGAAGAAAACAGUAUGGUCUCAAAACGAAUCGAACUCACUAUAGUAUUGACACUAGACUACCAGCUAAAAGUCAAAAAUCGUAAUCAUGUCUUUUGUACCAGUACUUUGGAACCGCAACAGUCAAAGACAGAAUGAUUCAGAUGACAUGUUCAGCUUCUUGGAUGAGUGGAGCCCCCUUAGUUGGGGGUUUGGUCGCCCCAUGAUGGCCAUGCAGAGAAGACGCAGACCUGAGAAUUCACUUGCAGAUAGAAAAUGGACAUACAGCGUGAAGAUUGGAGACUUCAAUGCAGAACAUGUCAAAGUGAAAGUAGACGACGGUAAGUGUUUAGUCUGAUCAUGGAAGUAUUAUAUUGAUAUAUAUAUACAAUAUAAUACUUCCAUGGUCUGAUUUUUUAACUUUAUAACAGAGGCAAUUUCAGUGGCGGAUCCAGAGGGGGCGUAGAGGGCGUACGCCCCCCUUUUUUGUUUGAACUUUUUUUUUUUAUAUGUCAAAUCAUUAUUCAGACUAGACUUUGCCUCAAUUGCCAAUGGAUAAACCUAUUUUUGUCUACUUGGAUGUGGAUUGUUCUAAAAUUUAGAAUUAACAUUUAAUUUACAAAUGUGUGAACCGAAUCAAAAGUAAUCAUGCAGUAUUAAUUUAAUUGUGCUAUGUUAAGGGCUAUAAGUGGGUAAAGGGGUUCAACUGGAAAGAGGUGCGUGUUUUACGCAGCCCAAUUUUGUCGAUUUCUGUUUUUAAUCGCCCUUUUUCCUUUUUGUUCUCUUUAUAAUUACUAUGUGGAAGAUCGAUGUUCGCAGGCAAGUUGUCUUCUUUUUCAAAACUUUAUUUCUUUAAGCUAUGUAUACAUUAUAUAAAACAGUCCCAGUUUUCUUGUACGAUCGUUUACGUUUAAACAUGUUCAUUGUAAAAUUCUUCCAUGACAACAUUUCACUGUGAAAAUUUGUCCAUGACAAUAUUUUUGCGUGUGAAGUACUGUCCAUGAAGAUAUUUCUUUAUCAAAUUAUUACAAAAAAAGUGCAUGAUGAUUCAUGAUAUAUGUUAUUUACUUCAUAGGCGGACCCAGAGAGGGCUUAGAGGCCGGGGCCCCCCCUUUCAUGAGAAAAAUUUGAUUGAUAGCAUAGAGAAUCACUGAAGCAUGACUGGAGCGCCCCCUUUAAUUUAAGUCAACGGGGCCUCCCUUUAAUACAAAAAGUUCUGGAUCCGCCACUGAACUUCCUCUUCAUGAGAUAAAAUUUCAUGACAAUCUGUCUUAUUACACACAAAAUAUAACCUCCCUUUAACAGAAGAAAAUUACAAAGUAUUUAUCUGUAAUAAUUGUUUAUAUGCAAACAAUGAAAUUCACUCCUUCUCUGGACAUUUUUCAUAGAUGCAAGAUUGUCUUUGGGGAAAUAUUAAAGGACAAACUGUUGCUUUACAAAUAAUCUGCAAUACUGUUGCAGGACUCAAUUGAGUAAUGUUUUGUGUUCGAUCAAUUCCAAGAAGUGAAUAUAUAGCAAAUACAAAUUAUUCCUACGGUAUUUAUGUUCAAACAAUACAGAAUAAACGUAAAAUUAUUGAAAUUAAUAGACAACCAAAAAAGCGUAAUUUGAAAACAGGGGGGAUGGCUUAAUAUCGUCGAGUCGACAUGACAUAAGGCAUAUAUUCAUUAUUCGUAUCGUGGUUAUUAUUAUGAUAUGACAAAUUCAGAUCAGGUUAUUCGUUUACCUAAAAGAGUAAAAAGUACUUUUAUUAUAGGGUUUGAAACUGAUUAUUUGAUUUUUGGGAAACCGAGGUUGGACUAGUAUAGUUCUAUUUAUACACAAUUAUUUCUAGAAUUUUUAAGAAUGUGACAGAUUAAAAAAAACAAUGUUCUGUAGCGCUUAAACUCAAAAGUUUUUUUUCUAUAUUUCAGGUAAAGUAAUUAUUCAUGCUAAGUACACAGACGGUAAUGAUGAAUGGGGAGAUACUGUCGAGCGCACAAGGACAGUCCAGAUUCCAGAAAAUGUUGAUGCCGAAAAAAUUCACAGCUUCAUGAAAUCUGAUGGAACUAUGAUGUUAGAAGCCCCCUACCGCCUGUCAGAGGAGAAGCAACUCCAAGUUGUCCCACAAGAAGGUCGGGCCUUGGUGUCCAGUGACAGCCACAGCAAUUUGAUGACUUUCAGUGUCGACAAUUAUAGGCCAGAAGAGGUAAAAGUUACAUGCAAAGAUGGUAUGUUGACAGCCCAAGGAGAACGACAGAGGUCUGAGGAUGGUCAUGAAAUUCGUGAGUCGUUCUUUCGUCAGAUGACGGUUCCCCGGUCUGUGGAUGGGAAGAACAUCCAAUGCUUUAGAGAUGAUAAAGGGAAUCUUACUAUCCGGGCACCAAUGGCUGAAGAUGUUGAAAUGGAACAAGCCAAAAAGUAGACCUUUUAUGACUUUUAGAUUUAUUUUCAAUUUGUCAUCUUACCAAUUGCUGACUAUACACAUUUGACCAUUUUAUUACUUUAUGAUGAUUUGAUUUAGUGUUCAUUGUUAUUGUUUUUGAAUUACGUUUGGAUGAUUGUGUUAAUUUGCUAGUGAAUUUAUGAUUAAAUGAUGUAUACUUUCAGUUGUAUCAAAAAAGAGGAACAACACUUUAGAUUCUUUUUGUUAACUAGAAACAAGGUUUUGACAAAAGCUUGUUUAACAAUCAUGUGUUAUCUGUAAAUGAACAAUUAUAUCAGUAUUUGUAGUGGAACAAUCAUUGAAUUUUUGUAAUGGAACAAUCAUUGAAUAUGGCAUAAUUUUAGUUCAAUUUAAAAAAGAGAACCUACAUGUUACUUUAUUUACUUUGUUGUUGUCAGAGAUAGACAUUAAAUAUCAUUUAUACAA
rnacentral:lncRNA from 1 species